rnacentral:rRNA from 1 species
GACAGAGGGUGCAAACGUUGUUCGGAAUUACUGGGCGUAAAGCGAGUGUAGGCGGUUUCCUAAGUCAGGUGUGAAAGCCCCGGGCUCAACCCGGGAAGUGCACUUGAAACUGGGAGGCUAGAGUAUCGGAGAGGUUGGUGGAAUUCUCGGUGUAGAGGUGAAAUUCGUAGAGAUGUGAAGGAACACCGGAGGCGAAGGCGCCUGCCUGGACGACUACUGACGCUGAGGCGCGAAAGCGUGGGGAGCAAACAGG